UACGAAGGUGGCAAGCGUUACUCGGAAUUACUAGGCGUAAAGGGCAGGUAGGUGGUUCGGUAAGUCUGUUGUGUAAGCUCCUGGCUUAACUGGGAGAGGUCAACGGAAACUACCGGACUUGAGUAUAGGAGAGGUUACUGGAAUUCCCGGUGUAGCGGUGAAAUUCGUAGAUAUUCGGAAGAACACCAGUGGCGAAGGCGGCUCACUGGACUGGUAUUGACGCUGAGGUGCGAAAGCGUGGGGAGCAAACAGG
rnacentral:rRNA from 1 species